rnacentral:rRNA from 1 species
GAUGAACGCUGGCGGCAGGCCUAACACAUGCAAGUCGAGCGGAUGAGUGGAGCUUGCUCCAUGAUUCAGCGGCGGACGGGUGAGUAAUGCCUAGGAAUCUGCCUGGUAGUGGGGGACAACGUUUCGAAAGGAACGCUAAUACCGCAUACGUCCUACGGGAGAAAGCAGGGGACCUUCGGGCCUUGCGCUACCAGAUGAGCCUAGGUCGGAUUAGCUAGUUGGUGAGGUAAAGGCUCACCAAGGCGACGAUCCGUAACUGGUCUGAGAGGAUGAUCAGUCACACUGGAACUGAGACACGGUCCAGACUCCUACGGGAGGCAGCAGUGGGGAAUAUUGGACAAUGGGCGAAAGCCUGAUCCAGCCAUGCCGCGUGUGUGAAGAAGGUCUUCGGAUUGUAAAGCACUUUAAGUUGGGAGGAAGGGCAGUAAGUUAAUACCUUGCUGUUUUGACGUUACCGACAGAAUAAGCACCGGCUAACUUCGUGCCAGCAGCCGCCGUAA